UACGGAGGGGGCUAGCGUUGUUCGGAAUUGCUGGGCGUAAAGCGCACGUAGGCGGCUUUGUAAGUUAGAGGUGAAAGCCCGGGGCUCAACUCCGGAAUUGCCUUUAAGACUGCAUCGCUAGAAUUGUGGAGAGGUAAGUGGAAUUCCGAGUGUAGAGGUGAAAUUCGUAGAUAUUCGGAAGAACACCAGUGGCGAAGGCGACUUACUGGACACAUAUUGACGCUGAGGUGCGAAAGCGUGGGGAGCAAACAGG
rnacentral:rRNA from 1 species